rnacentral:lncRNA from 1 species
CCAAAUCCCUUAUGUCUCUCUAAUUGCUCUCUUCCAUCUCUCUAUAUAUCAUCUCUUAUCUCAGUUGAUUAAUAAACAUUGCUUGUGGAAGAACCCUUCGCCAUCGCUUCUCUCGAACUCUCUAAUAAGAGCCCUAAUUCAUAUCCCUCCUAUUCCAUUUAUGGUUCUUGUAUCCACAUUUGCCUCCUCCGCUGGUAUCUCCUGCAAGCUAGGUAGGUUUUUUUCUUCACAAAUUCAUGAUUUCAUUGUUUUUCUUCACAAUUUCAGGUUGAUUAUCGAGUUUUCUUUAACGAUUUAAGGUUGUGCGACAUUAUUUAGGGCUUCAUUCACAACUAUCUCUUUCUAACACUGUAUAUGUGUGCGUGUGUUUAUUUCAUGGAACUGGAUUGAAAUUUAGAUACCAAUGACCACCAUCUUCGAUUUUUAGCACCACCCGAAGAAAUGUUCGAUUCUCAACAUCACCCAUUUAGCAGAUUUUGAAAUCACACCAUCGUCACCAACAUUCACAUAAGACACCACAACACUCACCACCAUUGAACAACUACCACAUGCUACCUUCUUUCCAGUAGUAUCCCUUCUGAACCUUAAAGUUUAACCACCCAAAUUUUCUUAUUUUAUCUGUUAAUCAUUGAUUUAGGGGUUUGGUUGUGGCUGCCUUUUCCCUUCUCUGCGUUUUUCUCUAAACAGAAACACCUGAUGGAUGUGUACUGAGAGAUUGAUCAAGAAGCAAGAGGAAUCUAUUUCACGAAAAACAGAUUCACAAGGAUUCGAAGAAAUCCUUCUCUCAAAGAAGGAGGUAAAUAUUCUAACAAUUGUAAUUUUAAUCUAUCGAAAAUCAUUAGAGGUUUUCUAGAUCCUAUACCUCGAGUUGUGUGUCUCCUAACCAUUUUUCCCUUGAUUUUAAUUAGUUUUGUGCUCCUUUUUCUUAUUAAUGUACAUCUUUUUUCAAAGAUAAAAGAAUACAUUGCAACUCCAAACCAAUGGUAUCAAUGCCUUCAUAUAAUUGUAAUUCCAUUUCUGUAUGGGAGCAUGUUUCAUCUGGAAGUUUGGGUACCAAAAUUAUUCAUUGGGCUUUAGUUUGGAUUUUCAUGAUUUGUGGUUUAGUUGUACGAUUAUAGUGGCCUGUCAUGACUUAGAUCCGUUUAGGUAUACUUUUCUCACAAAUCAACAUCUGGAUAGCCAAUUACACGUCUCCACAAAUCUUCGACAUCAUUUUAAACAUUUAUUAGGAGAUGUGUGUGUGACUAAACUGUUGUUCAAAAAGGGCGGAGUUUAUGUGUGAUGUGUUAUGUUUCCUAAUUCAGCUUCAAAUUUGAGCCUAGCUAAACCAUUGAUUUGAAUAAGAAGAUGUUAAACAAGCUAAUCAAAAGGAUAUUAGAUCCUAAUCCUAUGACAGUAAGUUCAUAUAGUCAUUUUUUAUUUAUUAACUAAAAAUAUUAACCCAUAUUUUAGUUUUUCUUUCACAGAAAAUUGUUGAAGUGGUUGAGAAUGAAUGGUUUAAGAAAGGAUACAUGGUUGAGAUCAUAUUAUACAUGUUUUUGUGUUUAUUUAAGGUGUUAGAAAUAGUUUGAACUUUUCAGAAGAUUGGAAAAUACUAACGCACUUCUCUACUUUUUUGUUCUGUUUUACAAAAUAUUUUUCUUACUUAAUUUCAAACCAACAUGCAAUUUAUUGUUACUUGAGAGUGUAAUUUUUGAAAUUAAUACAUUUCUUUUUAAACAAAAGAUGCUAAUAAACUUUAUAAAUGAUUCGGUGGAAGAAAUCUUAAAUAUGCAAGUGGCUAUUCUAAGUUGUUUGGAGUGAUUUAAAAAAAAAAAUAUUGAUUUAUUUAUUAUUGAUUUUCAAGUAUUUUUUUAACUAGACCUUGAACAAAUGAAGAUGUGAAAAUAAAAUGACUUACAUUUGCGAGAUUGGUAUACAAGUUUUUAUUUUCCUAAUGUAAAAUUCAUCAGUUGUCAUAGAGAAAAAUUCACCAUAAUCUUACCUGCAUUUGCGGAACACCCAUCUUUUAUUGUAUGAAUUCUCUCAUUUUGAUAAAACUUUGUUGAUAUUGCAGAUUUUGUGGUGCAUCCUAGAGGCUCAAAUGUUUUUGUUUAUAUUUCAUUUUUAUUAUUUAGCAUAUUUAAACAUUAUUUAAAAGGUUAUGUAUUGUAUUCGUCGCUCAUAAUUACAUGGC